rnacentral:rRNA from 1 species
GGAAUAUUGGUCAAUGGACGCAAGUCUGAACCAGCCAUGCCGCGUGAAGGAUGAAGGUCCUCUGGAUUGUAAACUUCUUUUAUCUGGGACGAAAACGGGAUUUUUAUCUCAAUUGACGGUACCAGAGGAAUAAGCACCGGCUACCUCCGUGCCCGCAGCCGCGGUAAUACGGAGGGUGCGAGCGUUAUCCGGAUUUACUGGGUUUAAAGGGUGCGUAGGUGGGCUUAUAAGUCAGUGGUGAAAUCUCCGAGCUUAACUUGGAAACUGCCGUUGAUACUAUAGGUCUUGAAUUAUCUGGAGGUAAGCGGAAUAUGUCAUGUAGCGGUGAAAUGCUUAGAUAUAACAUAGAACACCAAUGGCGAAGGCAGCUUACUACAUAUAAAUUGACGCUGAGGCACGAAAGCGUGGGGAUCAAACA